rnacentral:ncRNA from 1 species
AGAUAAAAUUUUAUAUUUUUGGAAAUUUAUUUUUAAUUUAUUUUACAUAUAAAUUAUAGUAUUUAAUUUUAAUUAUUUUAAAAAUAAUUAAUAAAUAUUUUGUAGUAAUUAAUAUUAAAAAUUUAAGAAAUUAAGAUUUAGUAAUAUAAAAAUUAGUAACUAAUUUUGUGCCAGCAGUUGCGGUUAAACAAAAGUUAAAUUGAAUUUAUUCAGUAAUAAUAAAUAAUAAAAUUUUUUAAAAAUAUUAAAUUAUAAGGUGAAAUUUUAAUUUAAUUAAAAUUUAUAAAAUAAAUUAUGAUUUAAUAAAUUUUAUUAUAAACUAGGAUUAGAUACCCUAUUAUUAAAAAUUUAAUUAUAAAUACUAAAAUAGUAAGUAAUAAAUAUUGAAACUUAAAUAAAAUGGCGGUAUUUUAGUUCAUUUAGAGGAAUCUGUCUAGUAAUUGAUAAUCCACGAAUAAAUUUACUUAAUUAAAAAUUUUGUAUAUCAUUGUUAAAAAAAUAUUUUUUAAUAAUAAUAAUAUUUAAAAAUUUAAAAUAAAAAUUAAUUCAGAUCAAGAUGCAGAUUAUAAUUAAGAUUAAGAUGGAUUACAAUAAAUUUAUUUAAACGAAAAUAAUUUUUUAAAAAUAAAAUUGAAGGUGGAUUUAAAUGUAAUUUUAAUUAGUUUAUUAAAAUGAUUAAUAAUUAAAAUAUGUACAUAUUGCCCGUCACUUUCAUUUAAAAAUUGAAAUAAGUCGUAACAAAGUAGAGGUACUGGAAAGUGUUUCUAGAAUGAU